CAGUAGCCACGGGAAUACAGAGGGUGCGAGCGUUAAUCGGAUUUACUGGGCGUAAAGCGUGCGUAGGCGGCUUUUUAAGUCGGAUGUGAAAUCCCUGAGCUUAACUUAGGAAUUGCAUUCGAUACUGGGAAGCUAGAGUAUGGGAGAGGAUGGUAGAAUUCCAGGUGUAGCGGUGAAAUGCGUAGAGAUCUGGAGGAAUACCGAUGGCGAAGGCAGCCAUCUGGCCUAAUACUGACGCUGAGGUACGAAAGCAUGGGGAGCAAACAGGAUUAGAGACCCCAGUAGUCCCUGUCUCUUAUAA
rnacentral:rRNA from 1 species